GCUCAUAUAGCUCAGUCGGUAGAGCACUUCCUUGGUAAGGAAGAGGUCAGCGGUUCGAAUCCGCUUAUGAGCUCCA
rnacentral:tRNA from 3 species